rnacentral:rRNA from 1 species
UUCCAGACUCCUACGGGAGGCAGCAGUGAGGAAUAUUGGUCAAUGGGCGAGAGCCUGAACCAGCCAAGUCGCGUGAAGGAUGACGGCCCUACGGGUUGUAAACUUCUUUUGUCAGGGAGCAAUUGGGUCCACGCGUGGGCUUAGCGAGAGUACCUGAAGAAAAAGCAUCGGCUAACUCCGUGCCAGCAGCCGCGGUAAUACGGAGGAUGCGAGCGUUAUCCGGAUUUAUUGGGUUUAAAGGGUGCGUAGGCGGAAUAUCAAGUCAGCGGUAAAAUUUCGGGGCUCAACCCCGUCGUGCCGUUGAAACUGGCGUUCUUGAGUGAGCGAGAAGUAUGCGGAAUGCGUGGUGUAGCGGUGAAAUGCAUAGAUAUCACGCAGAACUCCGAUUGCGAAGGCAGCAUACCGGCGCUCAACUGACGCUCAUGCACGAAAGCGUGGGUAUCGAACAGGAUUAGAUCCCCGAGUA